GCCAUUUUAUCAGACUAGGAAGUCGGAGUGUCUAAGUUUGUGCUCUUCUGUGAAAUAUUACAUUGUGAAUGGGAACCUCAUCUGUCAACAUAUAUCAUAUUUCAGUAGGUGGAAAACUAGUGAAAACCAUUGUUUCAAUACCAUUCAUUCUAGUCUUAGUUAAUGCAAUUUGUUCUGAUCUUGUCGUUAUUACUUGAUCAUAGUCCGCACUUUACGCUUGAGUUUUUUUGGUUUGAUGCAUCAAUCAAAGAACAUAAGUAAAAUGAAGGGGAGUUUUUAUGGUUCCUUGUAGUUACUGGAUUCAGGCCAAGCAAAAGAAUUCCAGACAGAUCAGAAACCAGGAUAAUAAAGAACUCGGGAUGCGAAAUUUAAAGAGUUAAUGACCUCAUGAGCCAUAAAGCAAGAAAGGAAGAACACGAGGGCAUGAAAACCGGAAACGUAGCUAUAAUUCCACAGGAGUUGAGCCAGUGAAGUGCCAA